rnacentral:lncRNA from 1 species
CUGAUCAAGCAUUAUCUUACAAGUUCAGAAAUAGAUGAAUAAGUCCCUAAAACCCCAGCAAAUGUUCCAAAUAGAAUUAUCCCCCCAAUGCCUAUCUGCUCACAGUUCCAACCCCAAUUGAGAUCAGAAAUCUUCAAGUAACACAAGCAUGGGAGCAGAAAAGAACCCGAAACGACAAAAAUUGAUCCAACAAUUGCCAUCAGGGACUCGUAAUAGGGAAAAUAAUAUGCCACAAUAGCUGUGCUAAACAGCAAUGCUACUCUUAUAAAUAAUCUAACAGCUCUCUUAUUCUUGUAAUUUUCUGAAAUCCCGCCUUCAAUGGCAGUUGCAAUUGGGGUUAAUACCAAUGCAUAUCUGGCGAUUGGAAUAACUAAAGUCGUAUAAAUUGUGAUUCUUGCACUAACUUUACUUGUUGGUAGAUUCAAAGUUAUUUCUGAUUCAACCCUGUCUCCAUACAUUAGAUAUCCUACUAUGGCCAUUGACAUGUAGGUGAGUGUUGCAAGAACAAAACUGAAUAGUAAGACCUGCAAAUCCAUGAAUGAAACAGCAAAGAAGUAGUUAGUUUUAGAAGCCGGUUUUGAAAAAUGAACACACUAAGACCUUCCAAUCAAAGUUGAUUAUUUGUUAUGAUGGAGAUCAAUCCAUGGAGUAUUUAUUAAGAAAAUUGCAGAUAGUCUCUGGCCAACAAGAGAGAAAGUAAUGUGAAUAAUGUUGUAAUUUUCUACCUUACUGAACUGGUAGCGGUCUCGCAUUGAUACAUAUAUUGGAGGGAUGACUGGAUGUCCACCAAAGGAAACAAUAUACAAGCUAACUGUAAUAGGUAGGCGGUCCACAUUUAACAGUAUCGAUCCCUUCGCAUGAAAGCCAACACCAUUGAAUGCACCGACACAAAAAAUGGAGACAAGGAUGACAAGGCAUGAAUAAAAUCCAGUGGCAGAGAUAUAGGAGAGAAUGCUCAAGUCGGUUAAAAAUAUUGUUGGCAAGAUUAUUAGGAAUGUGAUUAUAGCAAAUGACUGUCUUCCAUCUACUGUUAAUUCCCCAAGGUUGAUCAUGAAUUCUGGAAAUAGCUUACGCAAGCUGUCAACCUCCUGUAUCAAAAGCCCGACAGCAACAAGAUAUAUUUCCAAAUUCAUAAUGAUCAUGACUGUGAUUCUUCCUUUUGUACCAAAUGCAUGCCCUGCAAUAUCAAGGUAGCUAGUAAUAGACGGAUGAUCAGCGGCUUCCAUGCAUCGUUUUAGUAAAAUUCCAGUGUAAAAGGUCAUAAUUGCAACUAAGGAAAACAGCAUCAAACUCAACCAACCUCCAGUUGAGAGGGCAUAAGGGACUGUUAGAUAACUCAUUCCUGUGAAAUGAAAAUGUGCAAACAAUCAUGUGUCCAUAAACCAAAAGAAAGAAUAGAGAUAGCCAUUUUUUCUGAGUUUACCAAGGAAUGUAUUUAUGCCAUUGAAGCAAGCAUUAAUGAAACUUGAUGAUCCAGUGGUUCGUGCCAGUGGGAUCCUUAGCUCAUUGUUUGCCAUUGUUUUGUAUUCAGUUUAGUAUCUGUAUCUUCACUUCUUAUGAACUCUCCAUAAAUAACUUCUCUCAUGCAAGUAAAAGAGGGAGAUAAGGGGAAAAUAUGAAUGAAUACACAGCACAAGAAGCUGCAAUAUGGACCAUCAGAAAAGAAGAGGAAAAAAAAGACCAGAUUGGCUUAACUUCUUACCUUGAAGGAAGGAGCAUUAGUAAACAUCUUUGUCUAAUUUUCUAUGAAAAUCAACCAGCUGUUGCUGUACCUCUUGAAGAUGGGAUUACCUGCAAAGCAUGUUGAAAUCCAAAAGAUUUUGAGGACAAAUUAAAGUGGGUUUCUCCUAAAACCUAUCAUUGAUAAAUGGAUUUAUACAUAUUCAACAUUACAACUGAUAUAUACCAGCUAGCUGUAAGUUUAAAAUGCAUGGUUCACAAAAUCUAAUCAACUCCACCGUUAGAAUUGAGUGCAUAUCCUCACACAGUGAAUCCACAAGAGUUAAUCAUCAAGGCAUACUUACCUAGUAAGAUAAAAGGGCAGUCUCAACAUGCUUACAAUAAGCUAUAAACCGGAGUAGCAUCAGCAGAAGAACAAGAAGAUGUGCACUCGACCGAAGAUUUUGUGGCGCUUUGAGAAGGACAACACAGAGGUCAUGCGUAAAAUACUGAAAAACUUGUUUUUCCCUUGCAAGUCCAUUAUGAGAGAUGUUCCCAAUGUUCAGAAAUCAUGGUAUAUGGUUUGUUACAGAAACCUCUGAAAUUUUGGACUCAAAUUAAAGAAGAAAUUGUAAAAAGAGAAGGCAGAUCCAUGUAUAUAUAAAAACAUUGAAUUGAUGUUUGAGUAUCGUACUCAAGGACUGCUGAAUACUAAAUGCUUCUUAUCAUUUUCUCCUAAUCUGGUACAUAGAAAUAAAUUGGGAGAAUUACCCAAAAGGUGAGUUAGAAAAAAUAGCUCAUACAUGAUGAUAAGUAUAGGUUGAUAAAUGAUGUGGCCCUCAUACAUGAUGAUAAGUACAGGUUGAUAGGCAAUCAAAAUAACUCAUACAUGAUGAUAAGUACAGGUUGAUAAAUGAUGUGGGCCUCAUACAUGAUGAUAAGUACAGGUUGAUAGGCAAUCAAUGGUAUAUUUUUCAGCUUGAAAAAAUUAUUGUCACUUUUGAACAAUUGACUGUUUAAAAAUUUGCUAUUUUUUUUUCAAAAAAAUUGAGAUUUUUUAAAGAACCUUACAAAAAAAAUAAUUUUUAAUAUCUCAUAAAUAAAAACUAUAUCUUGAAGUUAUUAUAUCGUUUUAUAUAUAAAACAUACAAUUAAAAACUUUGUUAUCAUAAUAUAAUGAAUAAUUAUUUUUUACGAGCACUCAUCAAUUGAAUAAUAUAUAAAUAUUCAAUUGACUAACACACACCUAUUAAAUGAAAUAACUCACAAUUAUUCAUUGAGUAAUAUAGCACGUGAAAAAAUUAAAUAAAAAUAAAUUAAAUUAUGUUGUAAUAUAUUGUAAUGAUAGUGUAUUUAUAUUAUAAGUAUAAUACAUUUAUGUUGUACCUAUGUUUUAUUAUAAAAGUAAUAAUUCUAAAAAAAUUUAUUCAUACCCUGUUGGUAUUAACACAUCAUAUUAAUAUAUUAACAACAUUUAUUUAGUGUUUUGAAAUUAUUUAAUAAUUUUUGUAUAUAUAUAUAAACUACGUGAAUUCAAAUUAGUAUUUCAUUUUAUUUCAGAAAUUAUUUAUGAUAUAGGUAUGUUGUAAAAUAUGGUAUGAUCAUACAAAAUUACCAUUUUUAUAAAAAAUUUCAUAAAUUUCUUAAUUAAGUUUUAUUGUAAUGUAUUGUAAUGUAAGUGUAUUUAUAAUAUUGUAAUUAUAACAUAUUUUUGUUGUGUCUAUAUUUUAUAAUAAAAGUAAUAAUAUUGAGGAUCACCUUUUAUACCUUAUUAAUAUUCAACAUAUCAAAUAGAUUAACAUCAUCCACUCGAUGCAUUAAGAAAAAAAAAUUAUAUGAAAAUUAAAAAAAAAAAAUUAUAUAAAUUUUUUAAAAUUAUUUUAUUAUAAAAAUAAAAAAUGAUUAAACAUUCUCUAUCAUUUUCUUAUUCUUUUUAGAGAAUCUAAAUGAAAAAUUAAACAUUUUAUCUUUCUUAAAUUUAAUACAAAAACAUAAUUUAUCAAUUUAAAAUUAUAUAUAUAUAUAUAUAUAUGUGUGUGUGUGUGUGUGUGUGUGUGUGAAAAUCAUCAUUUUUAUUAUAUAAUUAUAAAACUUAUUUUUUUCUUCAUAAAAUUAAAAAUUAGAAUAAAAAUAAAAAAGGUAAAAAAACAAUAAAUGAUAUUUUGAAAAUAUUUUUUAAAAGUGUUUUUGUUUUAAAUAGUAAAUUUAAAUAACAAAUUAUAUAUAAUUGUAAGGGUUAAACCCAAAAUUUUGAUUUAAAAUUUAAAUAUCAAUAAUUACAAUAAAUGUAUUGACAAAUCAAGUGAAGUGCUUUAAAUGCUUUGAAUUUUAAAAGUUUUAGUUAAAGUGUAGUUUUGGUAUAUUAAGCCUAUUAAAGUACUCCCCAAGAAUUAUUAAAAGAUGUCACCCUUUCUAAUAAUUGUUCUACCUAACCCACCCUUUUGGGUAAUUCUCCCAAAUAAAUUUGGGUAGGAGGACAAUUUAAAUAUCAAUAAUUACAAUAAAUGUAUUGACAAAUCAAGUGAAGUGCUUUAAAUGCUUUGAAUUUUAAAAGUUUUAGUUAAAGUGCAGUUUUGGUAUAUUAAACCUAUUAAAGUCCUCCCCAAGAAUUAUUAAAAGAUGUCACCCUUUCUAAUAAUUGUUCUACCUAGCCCACCCUUUUGGGUAAUUCUCCCAAAUAAAUUUGGGUAGGAGGACCACUGACAUUUUUUUAUCAAUGGAGUAAUUCUGGUAUAAUUUCAUUCUGACAACUUAUGAGGUUAGUAAUUCAAAACAUGUUAAGUAUUAGUUUGAUAUGCAUUAUUGAAUUAUUUCCCAGUAUUUAAUCUUUUGAGACAAGUUAUCAUAGUUUGGUUCCUAGCUAAGACCUCUUUGUCUGGCUAUAAUUAACUUAUUUGUUGAUGUCAUUAGUUUCAUACACUAUUUUGUUAUGAGACUUCUCUAUAAUUAUCACUUCAUUAAACUAAAAAUACCAAGAGGUUGGUCAAUUAAUUUCCAGCAUGCAUAUAAAGGAAAGGAAAAGGAAAUGAUGGGAAAAAAAAUGAAAAUAGAAGAAGUGAUUUAGGAGGAAUGAUUGCCUUGUUUUAGACUAGCUACCAUUGCAUACAUGGGAUACCUCAUCACAAUUUGUGCAAUGCUUGAAAUGAGCUAGAGCAGAAAAUAGAAUGUAAACAAAUACAGUUGAAUAGUCCAGCUUCAUUUGUCCAUAGCUUGCCUCUAACCCCAAACAUUUAUAUAUGCUUGCAAAGUUUUUGGUCGAAAAUUUUCAUAAAUUCAUUGAAUCAUUGUACAUGUUUUAUACAAUCAAUUGUACAACAAAAUAAAUUGAAAUGAACCAAAGCCAAUUCUCCAAAAAGGAGAUAUAGUAUUGACAUAUUCUACAAGGAAAUUAUAUGAAUAGUGUAUAACUAGGAUUAUGGUCAGAAGGUUCAACAAAAGAUUGUUGAUGAGAUUCUUCUUUCCUAGUAUGCCCUCAUGAGAUGGCGGAUCCAUUAGAUACAUCAAUCUUGAACCAUAAAGAUGAAAAAUGUUGCUUAGCUAACGACUUUGUAAAGACAUCAACUGGUUGAUUGUGUGAGAAAACAUAAGAAAUAGUUAGCAUAUCAUGACAACAAUUUUGUCCCUAACAAAAUGAUAGUUAAAGGAAACAUGUUUCAUUUGGAAAUAGAAGAUUGAGAAUCAAUCCAUGUUAAUUUGGCAGCAAUGGAAGCAUUGGCCCAAUACUCAAUUUCCAUGGAAGACCGAGCCACUGUUCUUUGCUUUUUAGAACACCUAGAAAUUGUAGCACCAAGACAACUAACACAAGCCGAUAUUGAUGUAAAGUCAUCCCGAUUUCCUACCCAAGCAACAUUGGAGUAGACAAUAAUAGUGAGAGGAUGAUAACAGCAGAGCGCAAGACCAUAAUGAAUGUGUGCUAGAGAUAUCGAAGAAGUCUUUUGGCAAUUGUUUAAUGGGAAUGUGUGGGAGAAUGCAUGUAUUGAGCGACUUAUUGACAAAAUAAGUCACAUCCAAACACAUCAAUGAUAAAUAUUCCAUGGCACUUACAAUGCUUUAAUAGAAAGUAACAUCAACAAAAGGCUUACUUUUGUGAUAACUUUUGUGAUGAUGGAACAACCUCCAUGCCUAAGAAGAAGUGAUCGCUAAGGUCAUUGUUAGAGAAUUUAAAGGCAAGAGUCUGAAUGAAUUCUCAAAUAACAGUAUCAGAGUUUCCCGUGACAAUCAAAUCAUUUACAUGUACAAAAAAGUAUAUUGUAAUGCCACUGAAAUUAUGUAGAAACAAUAAGGUAUUAAUUUACAAUUGGUGAAACCAAAGGAAACGACGAAAUCUUUGAACUCAUUGUACCAUGCUUGUGGAGCUUAGUUGAGGCCAUAAAAGGGUUUUAUGUAGCGUGGCAUAUAUUAGUAGGCCUGGUGUCAUCAAUGAAGUUUGAGUGGUUGUGACAAGUUGGUGAAUGAAUAGAUAGUUCAAAAAGGCAUUGCUAACAUCUAUUGAUGAAUUUGUAACCACCAAUUGAGAGCAACAGUUAGAAGUAGGUGAAUGGUUGUAGGUUUAACCACCAGGUUGAAUGUGUCAUGGUUGUUUGUGCCUACAGACCCACUUGCAUCCCUGUGAUGUUUUGUCAAAGAUGGAACUAAUUCUCAUGUACGAUUUGUAAUGAUGGCAUUGAUUUCAUUAGUUGUGGCUUCUCUCCACUUAAAGUUUGACUAGUACAGGGAGAUUCAAAGAUUGUGUAGGCAACGGGUGUUUAGUAGCAUGAUACAAGUGCUUAGGUUAAAAUUUUGGUUUUAUAAACGAGUGAUCAUUUGGUGGGUAUGGGUAGGUUAAAGAUAGGGAAGGCAACGGGACGGGUUUUUUCGGGUACCCGUCCCUAAUGGGAUGUGAUUUAAAUUUAAUAAACGGGUUUGGGAUGAGUAUGAGAUUUUUUUUAAACCUGAGGCGGGUUCAGGUAUUGUCCCAUCCCGUCCUGUCCCGUCUCGUUUACAUAUAAAAUUAAAUUUAAUUUAAAUUUUAAAAUUAAUUUAAUUUAAAAUUUUAUUUUACUAUUUUUAAUAUAUAGAUAAUAAUAAAAAAAUUUUAAUAAAAUAAGUUAUAAAAAAUAUAAUAAUUUUAUUAUUUAUAAAAUAUAUUUAUUUUAAUAUAAUUAAAAAAUUUAAAAGUAAAUUUUUUUAAAAAAAAUUAAAUUAAAAAAAGCUAAACGAGGUGGGGCGGGCUAUUUGAACUUGGGUCAUAUCAUGCAUAAGAACUCUAGUUUAGUGGCUACAGCUUGAAUCAAAGCUACAAACACUAAGUUCAAAACUUCAAAGUUAUGACUUCUCCUUCUCAAGACAAAAGCUGUACUCUUUCCCUCUCAAGCAUUAUGUUAGAAGUUCAGAAAUAGAUGAAUAAGUCCCCAAAACCCCAGCCAAAAUUCCAAAUACAAUUAUCCCAACAAUGCCCAUCUGCUCACAGUUCCAAUUCCAAUUGAGAUCAGAAAUCUUCAAGUAGCACAAGCAUGGGAGCAGAAAAGAAGCCGAAGCAACAAAAACUGACCCAACAAUGGCCAUCAAGGACUCGUAAUAUGGGAAGACAUAGGCCACAAUAACAGUACUGAUCAGCAAUGCUACUCUUAUGAGCAAUCUCACCGGUUUCUGAUUCUUGUACUUUUCUGAUAGUCCACCUUCAAUGGCAGUUGCAAUUGGGGCUACCAACAAGGAAUAUCUAGUAACUGGAAUAAGUAAAGUUGUUUAUAUUGCAACUCUUCCACUAACUUUACUCGUUGGUAAUUUCUGAUUCAACACCAUCUCCAUACAUAAGAUAGCCCAAUAUCGCUAUUGUCAUGUAGUUGAGAGUUGCCAGAACAAAACUAAACAUCAAGACAGAUCAAUAAACACAAAAGACCAACAGUUUUAGAUGUCUAUUCUUAAGACCUUGCUGUAUAAGUUGACUGUAAACCAAGAAAAAGCAGGCAGCAACUGCCUCUAUGUAUCAGUUUCAGGCUUUCGACAAUGUCAAUUGCAAAUAAUAUUUUUAAGCAGUUUAUAUAACUGUUUCUAUGGAGAUUACUACACAGACUAAAUAAGAAAAUCGAUCACAUGACGAUCUCUAGGCAACCACGGAGAAAUAGUUUUUUCAUAAGGUGUAAGUAAAAUGAAUGAUGUUAAAGUUUCAGCCUUACUGAACUGGCAGGAAUCUCACAUAGACAUGUAUAUUGAAGGGAUGACUGGGUGUCCACCAAAUGAAACAAUAUAUAAGCCAACUGCUGUAGGAAGAGUAUCGAGAUUUAACAGAACACUUCCUUUUGCAUGAAAACCAACACCGUCGAAUGCACCAACACAAAAGAUGGAGACGACAAUGACAAGGCAAGAGAAUACUCCAGUGGCCGAGAUAUAGGAGAGCAUACUCAAGUCAGUUAACAACAUUGAUGGUGAAAGUAAUAGUCCUGUGAUUAUAACGAAUGACUGUUUUCCAUCUAGUGUCAAUGCCCCAAGUUUAAUCAUGAACUCUGGAAAAAGCUUUUGUAAGUUGUCACAUUCUAAUAUCAAAAACCCUGUUGCAAUAAGGUACAUCUCUGCAUUCAUCAUAAACAUGACUAUCAUUCUUCCUUUCAUACCAAAUGCACGCUCUGCAAUAUCAUAAUAACUUCAAAUAGAUUGAUCAACUUCCAUACAACGCACUAUUAAAAGCCCGGUGUAAAAGGUCAUAGCUGCAAUUGAGAAGAAGAGCACCAAACUCAACCAACCUCCACUUGAGAGGGCAUAAGGGAUUGUUAGAAAACCAAUUCCUGUGAAUGUCAAAACAAGCAACAAAAACCCUUAUCUAUUACUCAUGAAGGAAUAGAAGAAACAGGAAAAAAUGGAGAAAGAAGUGACCAUGUCCCUAAGCUUACGCAGGAAUGAGUUUGUGCCAUUAAAACUAGCUUUCAUGAAACUUGAUGAGCCAGGAGUUCGAAUCAGAGGGAUCCUUAGCUCGUUAAUCCCCAUUGUCUUCUUUUGAUUUAAUAUUGCAUUUAAUCAACAGAUUCCCAUCUCCACUUCUAUGAACUGUCUCUGCAUGGAUAACUAAAUAUAUGGAUGCAUGGACAAGAAAUUAGGACAGAAGUGGAAAAUAUGAAUGAAUGGUCAGAAGCAACGGGAUUGUCUUUACUUCUUACCUUGAAAGAAGCCGGAUAGACAUUUAUCUUUUCUCUAAAUUGCUAUGAAAAUUGACCUGGUGCUGCACCUGGUGAACAUUUCGAUUAUCUGCACCUCAUUUUCCCACAAGCUUUCCCGAACUAAACAUAGCUUAAGACAAACAUACAACCAUUUUCCUCAGCACUCCUUUAUUUCCUUGAGCACUUGUUGACUUAAGUCAAUGGGAUCCUCAGCACAUUCUUUGCUACUAUUCCAUAGUUGAUUUAGUAGCACACUUAACUGUAUCGUUUGUAUCUUCAUGUCUAACUACACCGUUUGUAUCCUCGUGUCUACUUGAUGGAUACCAUACACAUGCAUGGACAAGAGAGAGAGACAUAAGCAGAAAAUACAAAUGAAUGGGAAGCCCAGGAAGUUGUUGUAUGUACCAUAUAAAAGGAAAAACAGAAGGAAGGAGAUGUGGUUGGGUAAAUUCUAUAUUUGAAUUAGUAGCACACUUAACUAUAUAGUUUGUAUCUUCGUGUCUACUUGAUGGAUACUUAAUUUACACAUGCAUGUACAAGAGAGAGAGAUAAGCGGAAAAUACAAAUGAGUGGGAAGCACAAGAAGUGUCAAAUGCACCGUAUAAUGGAAAAGAAAUAUAUAAAAAGAGAGGGGAGUGGGUGGAGCUGGGGCUGGGGGAUUUGCUUGAUUUCUUACGUAUGAAGAAACUGGCAUCUUUCCCUAGAUUGCUGUGAGAUCAGAUAUUACUUACCUGCAAAGCAUGUGAAUCCAAAAGAUUUUGAGGAAAAAUGACAGUGGGGUUCUUCUAAAGUGACUUUUCACAUUAUUUGGAGUUCAAUAUAGAGAAUGGAGACACACCGAGAUUCAACAUCAUAAAUAUACGUACCUGUACCUAGCUUUUGACAGUGGAAUACAAGAAUCAAAAUACAUGGCUGAUGAGAACCUAAGGAGCUGUAGAGUCUGUAACUUGGGUGGCAGUCCAGUAGCUAGUCUUACAAAUUGAAGCAAAAGACUACUGAAGCUUAUUACCUAUAAUGAUGAGAAGACAGCCUCUACAUCAUUGUAAGUAUUGAAGCAUCAGCAGCAGAAGAAGAUCAAAGAAGAUCGAUAUACACUUAUACUGAAGCUUUCGAGGCAUGGAAAAACAAAAAUAACAUAAAAAAACAAUUAAAUCUAGCUUAUCAUCUACCUUUCAACCUUUUCAACUGCUUUCCAAAUGUCAUCUACGAUUCUUAAUCACUUGAAGUAGUGAAUCAUAGACAAACAAUGGGUAGAUGAUUCUUACAAAAAUCAAUUUUGUAAGAAGCUACCGAGACAUUAUCAUAUUGAUGAUAAGCUGCUUCCAUACAUGGUUUUUGUAGAACUUCCCAUGGAAAAGCUCAUGCAAUAACUAAUUCCCGUGAAAUUAAAACAUGUGAAAUAAUUGUGUUUAUAAACUGAUCAAAGAAAUGAGGAAGAAUGGAAAGAGUAGAGGAAGCAAUUUUUCUGAGUUUAGCAUAGCAUACCUGCAAAGUUUGUUGAAAUCCAAGGGAUUUAGAGGAAAAAUUAAGGUAGGAUUAUCCUCUCUAUAAACAAUGGCCUUUUGAUGAAAUGGUUGCUCUAUUUUCUUUGAUUACAAAGUGUAUAAAAUAUAUACAUGUGAGGGAGGUCAUGAAGCAAAAAAAUUAAGCCACACUGCUUCGAGCCAAUAGCAAAAAAUAUGAAGAAGUGGGCAUGAUCCAGAAAUUGUGGAAAGUCCUUAAUUGAUUAUGAACAUGUGAUGGAAUCGAUGGUUGAUUCCUCAAUUUUUUUUCAUUAUAUUAAGGCCAUCUUUUACUAGUACUUUUCAACAUGCAUGUUGGUCAUUAGAAGUGGCUUUUUAAAUAUAAAAGAGACACCUUCUUUUAUAUUCAUUAUUAAUCUUAUCAUCAUUUAAAAUGCAUGGUUCAUCUGGAUAUUAAGUUCUUGGGACACAUAUUACCAAGCUAUCUUAUCAUCUCCCUCAACAUUUUCAGCUGCCUUGCAUGCUAUCUGCCAUUCUUAAUUUCCAGUCUAGCUAAUGGUGCGUGAGUUCCUUUCUGAUUCCAUUAAGAGGGGUAGUUCAAGGUCAAGCCAAAAAUGAGAAUAUCAUCUGUCAGAGAAUUAAAAAAAAAAAAAAAAGAAAAAAAAAAAAGAAGAAUAUUGGUAUAAAGAGCAGUGUGAGGAAGGGCAGAUGGAAAUAUAGGACUUGUCAUCUACAAUCUUUUGGGUCAACUGAUUGUUAACCUAUCAAAUUUUUUGUUCUAUUUUCUGUAUGGGGUUUAUUCCUUUUAUUUGUUGAUCUCACUUGCAAGAGGACCAUGUCAAAAUUGAGGUGGUAUAUGGAGCUGCAUAAGACCAUUCUAGGCUAUACGCUCAGCACUCUUGUUUUUUUAAGCCUCCGUUUGAGAAAUAUUUUCGAAAUAAUUCCAAAAAAUAGUUUUUGAGUAGGGUUUUUAAAUAUCAUUCUUCCAUUUUUUGUACAAUUGAAAAUGAAUAAAAAAAACUAAAAGAUUUUCUCUAAAAAUAUUAUAUUUUUUGUUUUUAAGAGUAGAAAAAAAUGUUUUCUGUUUGACAAACGUGUUUUCUGAUUAUUUUUUUUUUAAAUAAAAAAUUGUUUUCGAAAUAAGUUUACUAGAACUCCAUUUUGCAGCAUGAAUAGGGGAUGAUAAAGGAGAUAUGAUGAAAGGACAAUAUGCAUAUAUCAAGUACUCUAGUUUGCGAAUUAGAGUGUCUUCAAGCACUGAUCAAGCAUUAUCUUACAAGUUCAGAAAUAGAUGAAUAAGUCCCUAAAACCCCAGCAAAUGUUCCAAAUAGAAUUAUCCCCCUAAUGCCUAUCUGCUCACAGUUCCAACCCCAAUUGAGAUCAGAAAUCUUCAAGUAACACAAGCAUGGGAGCAGAAAAGAACCCGAAACGACAAAAAUUGAUCCAACAAUUGCCAUCAGGGACUCGUAAUAGGGAAAAUAAUAUGCCACAAUAGCUGUGCUAAACAGCAAUGCUACUCUUAUAAAUAAUCUAACAGCUCUCUUAUUCUUGUAAUUUUCUGAAAUCCCGCCUUCAAUGGCAGUUGCAAUUGGGGUUAAUACCAAUGCAUAUCUGGCGAUUGGAAUAACUAAAGUCGUAUAAAUUGCGAUUCUUGCACUAACUUUACUUGUUGGUAGAUUCAAAGUUAUUUCUGAUUCAACCCUGUCUCCAUACAUUAGAUAUCCUACUAUGGCCAUUGACAUGUAGGUGAGUGUUGCAAGAACAAAACUGAAUAGUAAGACCUGCAAAUCCAUGAAUGAAACAGCAAAGAAGUAGUUAGUUUUAGAAGCCGGUUUUGAAAAAUGAACACACUAAGACCUUCCAAUCAAAGUUGAUUAUUUGUUAUGAUGGAGAUCAAUCCAUGGAGUAUUUAUUAAGAAAAUUGCAGAUAGUCUCUGGCCAACAAGAGAGAAAGUAAUGUGAAUAAUGUUGUAAUUUUCUACCUUACUGAACUGGUAGCGGUCUCGCAUUGAUACAUAUAUUGGAGGGAUGACUGGAUGUCCACCAAAGGAAACAAUAUACAAGCUAACUGUAAUAGGUAGGCGGUCCACAUUUAACAGUAUCGAUCCCUUCGCAUGAAAGCCAACACCAUUGAAUGCACCGACACAAAAAAUGGAGACAAGGAUGACAAGGCAUGAAAAAAAUCCAGUGGCAGAGAUAUAGGAGAGAAUGCUCAAGUCGGUUAAAAAUAUUGUUGGCAAGAUUAUUAGGAAUGUGAUUAUAGCAAAUGACUGUCUUCCAUCUACUGUUAAUUCCCCAAGGUUGAUCAUGAAUUCUGGAAAUAGCUUACGCAAGUUGUCAACCUCCAGUAUCAAAAGCCCGACAGCAACAAGAUACAUUUCCAAAUUCAUAAUGAUCAUGACUGUGAUUCUUCCUUUUGUACCAAAUGCAUGCCCUGCAAUAUCAAGGUAGCUAGUAAUAGAUGGAUGAUCAGCGGCUUCCAUGCAUCGUUUUAGUAAAAUUCCAGUGUAAAAGGUCAUAAUUGCAACUAAGGAAAACGGCAUCAAACUCAACCAACCUCCAGUUGAGAGGGCAUAAGGGACUGUUAGAUAACUAAUUCCUGUGAAAUGAAAAUGUGCAAACAAUUAUGUGUCCAUAAACCAAAAGAAAGAAUAGAGAUAGCAAUUUUUUUUCUGAGUUUACCAAGGAAUGCAUUUAUGCCAUUGAAGCAAGCAUUAAUGAAACUUGAUGAUCCAGUGGUUCGUGCCAGUGGGAUCCUUAGCUCAUUGUUUGCCAUUGUUUUCUAUUCAGUUUAGUAUCUGUAUCUUCACUUCUUAUGAACUCUCCAUAAAUAACUUCUCUCAUGCAAGUAAAAGAGGGAGAUAAGGGGAAAAUAUAAAUGAAUACACAGCACAAGAAGCUGCUAUACGGACCAUCAGAAAAGAAGAGGAAAAAAAAAACCAGAUUGGCUUAACUUCUUACCUUGAAGGAAGGAGCAUUAGUAAACAUCUUUGUCUAAUUUUCUAUGAAAAUCAACCAGCUGUUGCUGUACCUCUUGAAGAUGGGAUUACCUGCAAAGCAUGUUGAAAUGCAAAAGAUUUUGAGGACAAAUUAAAGUGGGUUUCUCCUAAAACCUAUCAUUGAUAAAUGGAUUUAGACAUAUUCAACAUUAUAACUGAUAUAUACCAGCUAGAUGUAAGUUUAAAAUGCAUGGUUCACAAAAUCUAAUCAACUCCACUGUUAGAAUUGAGUGAAUAUCCUCACACAGUGAAUCCACAAGAGUUAAUCAUCAAGGCAUACUUACCUAGUAAGAUAAAAGGGCAGUCUCAACAUGCUUACAAUAAGCUAUAAACCCGAGUAGCGUCAGCAGAAGAAGAAGAAGAUGUGCACUCGACCGAAGAUUUUUGUGGCGCUUUGAGAAGGACAACGCAGAGGUCAUGAGUAAAAUACUGAAAAACUUGUUUUUCCCUUGCAAGUCCAUUAUGAGAGAUGUUCCCAUUGUUCAGAAAUCAUGGUAUAUGGUUUGUUACAGAAACCUCUGAAAUUUUGGACUCAAAUUAAAGAAGAAAUUGUAAAAAGAGAAGGCAGAUCCAUGUAUAUAUAAAAACAUUGAAUUGAUGUUUGAGUAUCGUACUCAAGGACUGCUGAAUACUAAAUGCUUCUUAUCAUUUUCUCCUACUCUGGUACAUGGAAAUAAAUUUGGGUAGGAGGACCACUGACAUUUUUUAUCAAUGGAGUAACUCUGUCAUAAUUUCAUUCUGACAACUUAUGAGGUUAGUAAUUCAAAACAUGUUAAGUAUUAGUUUGAUAUGCAUUAUUGAAUUAUUUCCCAAUAUUUAUUCUUUUGAGACAAGUUAUCAUAGUUUGGUUCCUAGCUAAGACCUCUUUGUCUGGCUAUAAUUAACUUAUUUGUUGAUGUCAUUAGUUUCAUACACUAUUUUGUUAUGAGACUUCUCUAUAAUUAUCACUUCAUUAAACUAAAAAUACCAAGAGGUUGGUCAAUUAAUUUCCAGCAUGCAUAUAAAGGAAAGGAAAAGGACAUGAUGGAAAAAAAACAAAAAAAUGAAAAUGAAAAUAGAAGAAGUGAUUUAGGAGGAAUUAUUGCCUUGUUUUAGACUAGCUACCAUUGCAUACAUAGGAUACCUCAUCACAAUUUGUGCAAUGCUUGAAAUGAGAUAAAGCAGAAAAUAGAAUGUAAACAAAUACAGUUGACAGUCCAGCUUCAUUUGUCCAUAGCUUGCCUUGUCAUAGUUGGUUUAUAUAUGCUUGCAAGGUUUUUGGUCGAAAUUUUUCACAUAUUCAUUGAAUCAUUGUACAUGUUUUAUACAAUCAAUUGUACAACAAAAUAAAUUGAAAUGAACCAAAGUCAAUUCUCCAAAAAGGAGAUUCAACAAAAGAUUGUUGAUGAGAUUCUUCUUUCCUAGUAUGCCCUCAUGAGAUGGUGGAUCCAUUAGAUACAUCAAUCUUGAACCAUAAAGAUGAAAAAUGUUGCUUAGAUAACGACUUUGUAAAGACAUCAACUGGUUGAUUGUGUGAGAAAACAUAGGAAACAGUUAGCAUGUCAUGACAACAAUUUUGUCCCUAACAAAAUGAUAGUUAAAGGAAACAUGUUUCAUUUGGAAAUAGAAGAUUGAGAAUCAAUCCAUGUUAAUUUGGCAGCAAUGGAAGCAAUGGCCCAAUAUUCAGUUUCCAUGGAAGACCGAGCCACUGUUCUUUGCUUUUUAGAACACCUAGAAAUUGUAGCACCAAGACAACUAACACAAGCCGAUAUUGAUGUAAAGUCAUCCCGAUUUCCUACCCAAGCAACAUUGGAGUAGACAAUAAUUGUGAGAGGAUGAUAACAGCAGAGUGUAAGACCAUAAUGAAUGUGUGCUAGAGAUAUCGAAGAAGUCUUUUGGCAAUUGUUUAAUGGGAAUGUGUGGGAGAAUGCAUGUAUUGAGCGUGCUUAUUGACAAAAUAAGUCACAUCCAAACACAUCAAUGAUAAAUAUUCCAUGGCACUUACAAUGCUUUAAUACAAAGUAGCAUCAACAAAAGGCUUACUUUUAUGAUAACUUUUGUGAUGAUGGAACAACCUCAAUGCCUAAGAAGGAGUGAUCGCUAAGGUCAUUGUUAGAGAAUUUAAAGGCAAGAGCCUGAAUGAAUUCUCAAAUAACAGUAUCAGAGUUUCCCAUGACAAUAAAGUCAUUUACAUGCACAAGAAAGUAUAUUGUAAUGCCACUGAAAUUAUGUAGAAAUUUACAAUUGGUGAAGCCAAAGGAAAUGACAAAAUCUUUGAACUCAUUGUACCAUGCCUGUGGGACAUAGUUGAGGCCAUAAAGGGUUUUAUGUAGUGUGGCAUAUAUUAGUGGGCCUGGUGUCAUCAAUGAAGUUUGAGUGGUUGUGACAAGUAGGUGAAUGAAUACGACCAUUCAAAAAUGCAUUGCUAACAUCUAUUGAUGAAUUUGUAACCACCGACUGAGAGCAACAGUUAGAAGUAGGUGAAUGGUUGUAGGUUUAACCACCAGGUUGAAUGUGUCAUGUUGUUUAUGCCUAGCCUUUUGGUGGAAGCUCUUAGCAACUAGUUUGUGCCUAUAGACCCACUUGCAUCCCUGUGAUGUUUUGUCAAAGACUAUGAGGAACCAAUUCUCAUGUACGAUUUGUAAUAAUGGCAUUGAUUUCAUUAGUUAUGGCUUCUCUCCACUUAAAGUUUGACUAGUACAGGGAGAUUCAAAGAUUGUGUAGGCAAUGGGUGUUUACUAGCAUGAUACAAGUGCUUGGGCUCAAAUUUUGGUUUUAUAAACGAGUGAUCAUUUAUAUUUCUAUCAAUAUCAUAUGAGGAUAGCUUCCUGAGGUAAAAGGUCGUGAGGAUGAGUUAGUAGAAGAGGAAGAAAAUGAAGAAUUAUUUUGGAGAGUUCAUCAACAAUGACACAAUCCAUAAGAAAUAUAUGAUCAAUUUAUGAUCUCAUCCGUAAGUCAAAGUCAUUGUUAAUUUUAGCAUAAGUUUAAUAUUUUCUCAAAAUUGAGAGAUAACACAAUGAUGCGGCUUGAUGAAAUCAUAACAAUUUGAUAGUCUUAUGUCAUGAUUCACCAUAAAUUAUGUCUAAUGUGUAACUAUAUACACUAAUGCACUCUUUAUAAGAAACUUAUCCUAAUGGUCAAGACUUGUUAUCCUUUCAAUUAAGAAAUAUUGCACUAUAGCUUCUAAUGGAUUACCUAAGCCCACAAACUGACUAUGAACAAGUCACCCACUUGUAAGGAACUUAUGACUUGAAUCUUUCAUAUAACUUCUAAUACACUCAAGUCAUGUACAAUGGAACAGAUGCAAGUUAGAGUGCUUAUAAAAUAUAUUGCAUAGAAAUAAAAUAGAUAAAAGUAAACUAGAAUUUUAUUAAUAUAUAAUAAAAUCCAAAAGUUUAUGACACUAUAGCAUGCUUUUAAGAGUUUUAUCCUAACAUUCACACCUAUGAGUGCUUGUUUGGUUACCAAUGCAAUAUCACACCAGCUUGGAAAUUCAUAUACAUUAUUCUUGCUCUAACCUCAAGCGAGAAAUGCCCUCAUAAUGAUAUCCUUCACAAUAAAAUAAAGAAAAAUUCAAUAGAAGUUUUAUUAAAAUGACAAAUUUGAGAAACUAAAACUUAAUUAAUUAUAUUGAAUAGAAGGAUCACACAAGAGAUUUGAGGGCAAAAAUGAAGUAGUAGAAAUAAAAAGGUGCAGGAGUCAAUGCGUAAGAAAUAUUAAGUCUUGUACCACCACUAAUGACAAUGUCAUCAAGCCUUUCAUUAGGUUGGUGUAAGAAGAGGUUAUUCAGGUCCUAUGUUACAUGGUGGGAUCUUUUUGAGUCCAUGAUCUAAUUUGAGGAAGGAUGGGAGUUAGUGAUGACAUGGUUGGUAGACAGAGAGCCAUAUUGUGGCAUUUCCUUUGCCAAGUAGCAUUGGUGAGUUGAAUGAUCAUGUUUCUCACAAAAUUAACAUAUGAUGUUGUAAUUAUUUUCAUUUUGAUCAGUGUUGUUACAACCACUUUUCUACCCAUUGUUUUGGAAAUAUUAGUUGUAAUUGUUUGAGUUGUUGGCACCUUUCUUUGCUUGUUGUUGCAUAUUUUUGUUCUUGUUGAGACGUGUGCUAUUGACGAUAAAGGAGGAUUUGUUAGAACAGUUGUCUUCUCUUUUAUGGAAGGACCCAUCUUCAAUGAGUUUUUCAUAGAGUUCCUCAAAGGAGAUUAUAGAGUCCCUUGCAUGAAUUAUUGUUAAGAUCUCCUUGAAUUCGAUGAUUGGCAUUAAAGGUAUGAAUAACAAGGUUAUCAUUAAGGACUGGAGCAUCAAUAAGGGUCAACUCAUCUGCAAGACUUCUAAUAUUCAUGAGGUAAUCUAAAACAAAGUCAAUUGUGAGAUAAUAAGGUAAUUUUUUCUUUCAAUCCCAUUACUUGAGAGUAGCUUUUGUUGGCUUAAAGAUUCUUAGUCAAUUCUAUGCCUCACAAGAUGACUUGGAAGGAGUCAUAAGCAAUGUGACUUGUUCUGACAAUGAUGCAAGUGAUGCAUCCAUUGCAACCGACUUGAGUUGGAAACUUCUUUGUCUCCUUUUCUAAUUAUACUUGGACUACAGGUAUUGGUUUCGUUGAUGAACCUGAGGAGAUCAUAGUCAAAUAGUAUAGAAUCAAAUUGAACCAACCAUGAAGAGUAGUUUGUAAGAGUGAAUUUCAUUGGUAUUUAGGUGGAGAUGUUUAUAACAAAAAAGGUUGUUUGAGGAUAGAAUGUUGGUUAUUCUAUCGGGAGAGCUUUGGGUUGAUUUGAAGCUACCCAUUGUGGUUGAGAACAUGAAGAAGACAACGAAGGAGGAAAGAGAAAGAGGAGAUAGCUAGGAUCAAUUGUACGCUCUUGGAACAUUCAAAGAUCUGAUUCCAUGAUAAAUGUAGGCAAAGUUUUUGGUGGAAAAUUUUCAUGUAUUCAUUGGAUCAUUGUACAUGCUUUAUGCAAUUGUUUUAAUAGCAAUAAAUGGACAUUAUCAAAAGUAUUCAAUUCUCCAUAAAGGAGAUACAAUAUUGACAUAUUGUACAAGGAAACCAUAUGAAUAGUCUAGCUAGGAUUGUGGGGAAAUAUUAGGAGGUUUGAUAAAAGAUUGUUAAUGAGAUUCUUCUUUCUGAAUACGUACUAUAAUUUUCGGGUGGUAGCUUAUUUUCUAGUCGUUUAUUAUAAGUGCGUUUAAUAGUAUUUAUACUUAAAGUAUUUUUAGUGAAAUUGUUUUCUCUGCAAGUGUUUUUAUAAAAAUCACAUAUCGAGUAUUUUUCUAAAAACCACAACAAAUUAUUUUUUAAAAUUUUUAAAAUAUUUCCUAAAUUUUUGUCAAAUACUUGAUUUUUUCUUUUAAAAACAUUUUUUAAGUUAAAAGUGCUUCCUACAAUGCCCAAAAGACUCUACAUUACAUAUAAAGUGGUUACCACAUUAAAUCUCUAGUGGUCCUUAGUGAUUGAAAUGGCUCUUAAAGAAACAGGAGGCAAUUCAACCACGACAGGAUAUUGAUGUAUGCAGUUGUUAGAGUGAAAUGAAGCCUUCCCAAAGUCUAACUAUUAAUGAUCGCUCAUUUUUUCGAUCCCACAUCAACAUCGUUCUUCUCAUUUAAUGUCAAAAUUCUUAAUUUCAGUAGUGGUCCUGGGAGAUGGACAAAAGCCCAGCCCAGGUAUCAAUCAUGAUAAUCAAGCCCAAUCGACAUAUCAAUUGUGAUGGUUUUGCCUUUCCCUCAUGGGAUUCGUCCUCUUAAAGCUAUGAAAGGAACACCCCAAACCACAAAACCACAAGUCUGAAAUCUAUGGUCUCGACCACUGGACCAAAUAUGCUAUCAUGGUCAUAAAUAUUAUAAAUUAAUUAAAAUAAAAUUAUUAUAAAUAAAUUAAUUUUAAUUAUGUUAUUAUAUCUUUUUGUGUAAUAAUUAAAUACUGGAUAAAUAUAAAUUUAUAAAUAAAAUCAUCAAUAAUUUUAAAUAAAAAUACUUAUGUACUUUUCAUCCAUAUGUACAAAUUCAAUGCAUUAUCAUUUUAGUUUUACCGUGUUUUUAAAUUCGGUAUAUUAUCAGUUUGUAUAUAUAUAUAUAUAUCAGUUUGUAUAUAUAUAUAUAUAUAUCAGUUUUUUUUCUUAAAACAACUUCAAUUUAUAUAUUAUUACUUUUUUAUCCUUAUUUUUGAGUUUUACCCGUCAUUUUAUGAGUUUUGAUCAAUUUAUGUCAGCUUUUUUUGUCAAAAUUUUAGUUGAUGCAUUCGUAAAAAUCUAUUAAUAUAACCUUAUGAAAACCAAUAUGUUCUUCCUUGUUCAUGAUUAGAAACCUAAGAGCUUUCCACAUUCUGAAUGCUUCAGCAAUGGCACAUUAAGGCCAUACAUAGACGCUGAUAUCUUAAAUGAAGUUAAAACACAAAAAGGUUUCGGCAUUCAUCUUCAAAGUAUUAGCAGUACUUAAACUAACAGUCCGUUUUGAGAAACAAUAUUGAUCAUGUUACAAGAUCAUAAACAGAUGAAUAAGUCCCUAAAACCCCAGCAAGAGUUCCAAAUACAAGUAUCCCCACAAUCCCCAUCUGCUCACAGUUCCAACCCCAUCUCAAAUCAGAAUUAAUCCUCAAGUAGCACAGGCAAGGGAGCAGAAAAGAAGCCGAAACAACAAAAAUUGAUCCAACAAUGGCCAUUAGG